UACGUAGGGUGCAAGCGUUAAUCGGAAUUACUGGGCGUAAAGCGUGCGCAGGCGGUUUGGUAAGACAGAUGUGAAAUCCCCGGGCUUAACCUGGGAACUGCAUUUGUGACUGCAUGGCUGGAGUGCGGCAGAGGGGGAUGGAAUUCCGCGUGUAGCAGUGAAAUGCGUAGAUAUCGGGAGGAACACCUGCGGUGUAGACGGCUUACUGGACCGCCACUGACGCUGAGGCACGAAAGCCAGGGGAGCAAACGGG
rnacentral:rRNA from 1 species